UACGUAGGGGGCGAGCGUUGUCCGGAUUUAUUGGGCGUAAAGAGCUCGUAGGUGGUUCGGUAAGUCGGAUGUGAAAUCUCCAGGCUCAACCUGGAGGGGUCAUUCGAUACUGCCGUGACUAGAGUUCGGUAGGGGAGUGUGGAAUUCCUGGUGUAGCGGUGAAAUGCGCAGAUAUCAGGAGGAACACCGGUGGCGAAGGCGGGUCUCUGGGCCGAUACUGACGCUGAGGAGCGAAAGCGUGGGGAGCGAACAGG
rnacentral:rRNA from 1 species